rnacentral:rRNA from 1 species
GAUGAACGCUGGCGGCGUGCCUAAUACAUGCAAGUCGAGCGAACAGACGAGGAGCUUGCUCCUCUGACGUUAGCGGCGGACGGGUGAGUAACACGUGGAUAACCUACCUAUAAGACUGGGAUAACUUCGGGAAACCGUAGCUAAUACCGGAUAAUAUAUUGAACCGCAUGGUUCAAUAGUGAAAGACGGUUUUGCUGUCACUUAUAGAUGGAUCCGCGCCGCAUUAGCUAGUUGGUAAGGUAACGGCUUACCAAGGCGACGAUGCAUAGCCGACCUGAGAGGGUGAUCGGCCACACUGGAACUGAGACACGGUCCAGACUCCUACGGGAGGCAGCAGUAGGGAAUCUUCCGCAAUGGGCGAAAGCCUGACGGAGCAACGCCGCGUGAGUGAUGAAGGUCUUCGGAUCGUAAAACUCUGUUAUUAGGAAAGAACAAAUGUGUAAGUAACUGUGCACGUCUUGACGGUACCUAAUCAGAAAGCCACGGCUAACUACGUG